rnacentral:rRNA from 1 species
AGUGAACGCUGGCGGCAGGCCUAACACAUGCAAGUCGAGCGGCAGCGGGUCCUUCGGGAUGCCGGCGAGCGGCGGACGGGUGAGGAAUGCGUCGGAAUCUGCCUUUUUGUGGGGGAUAACGUAGGGAAACUUACGCUAAUACCGCAUACGACCUACGGGUGAAAGUGGGGGACCGCAAGGCCUCACGCAGAAAGAUGAGCCGACGUCGGAUUAGCUAGUUGGCGGGGUAAAGGCCCACCAAGGCGACGAUCCGUAGCUGGUCUGAGAGGAUGAUCAGCCACACUGGAACUGAGACACGGUCCAGACUCCUACGGGAGGCAGCAGUGGGGAAUAUUGGACAAUGGGCGCAAGCCUGAUCCAGCCAUGCCGCGUGUGUGAAGAAGGCCCUCGGGUUGUAAAGCACUUUUGUCCGGAAAGAAAUCCUGUCGGCUAAUACCCGGCGGGGAUGACGGUACCGGAAGAAUAAGCACCGGCUAACUUCGUG